GAUUCGUUGUGAUUAACUGCAAGAGGCAGAAUAAUAUAUCAUUAACCUGACAAAUCCAAUUUAGCGUUCCACUCCCUCAAACCCCAUACUCAAAUAAAACUGCAUGAGGCAAAAUAAAAACGUUAACAGAGUAGCUAAUUACAACCGAUAAAGUUAACUGGUUCCAAAUAUCACCGCAGCUGUGCUCAUGCUCCUUUUGGUUAAACAUAAGAAGGAAUCUCUUCAUUUCUAUAUUAUGUAAUCCAACCUGUUUAUUCAGAAUUUUAAAGAUAUCUUAGUGCACUAUUUAGAACGAAGUAACGAGUUGCAAAAUUGUUCAUAAAGAUCGAUGCUGCUCAGGUCAUUAGUAAACAAUGCAAUCAAUGCAGGCAACAAAGAAUCUAACUUGCAGCGAUCUAGGAAGAAAAUUUCUACCCAAUUUGACCAUUCCCCAUACAAUGCUGCAAAACUUGAAGAACUAGACUCCCACAAAGGUCAUAAAAAAUGGUCUUCACAACCCCCACACCCAGGAGGCAGUAAUCAUCAAAGCUGAAAAACUGAAGGAAAAAUAUUCUUUGCAUCAUUACAGGAAAUAAAUAUUAUCAGAUAGGAAAUCUGAAGCACUGCCUCUAUAAAUCAAAUCCCUUAUAAUACACACACUUACACUUUAACGGUUGAAGAGAAAAUAAAGCAGAAUGAACCCAGAACCCAAAAAAUAGGAUUAACCUGUUACCUCAGAACCCUGCCUGCACUUGUCCUGUUGAUAAGAUGAUAUGAGAAACACAGGCGAAAAGAGGCCAAGCAACAAUUUCCAUUAUCAUGCCAAUGAGGUCCCCUCUACCAUUCAACUACAAACAAGGGUAAACUCACAACAGUUACACCCACCGAGCCCCUCAACUACCUGCAGUAGCGCAUGGACCUGUCCCAGCUGUAAUUGCAACAGCAGAGGCAAACCUUGAGACAAGCACAGCCUCGUUGCUUACAGCCUUAGAGGCUGCCACAUCCUCCAAUCUUUUCCAUAUUGAUUCUCUCUUCUCCUGCAUUUCUCUCUCCUUUACUUCAUCUUCUUGGAAUUUAACCAAACACUCAUCAAAAAGUUCUUGAUCAGCAUCAGAGAAUAUCUUCCUCACAUUCAGUGUUAGACUCUGAACAGCUUGGUUCCAGUGACCCCUUGUGUUUCUCUCUAAAGCAGGGAAGAUUAUAGGCAGUAUCACUUGACGGUUUUGUGUGAUCAAAUUCCUUAUGUGAUCAUUGUUCCACAAAAACAAUGCACGUUCAGCCACCUGAAAAUGUGAGCUGUUGAGACAGCGACCUAUUUGACGGAAUAAGGGAAUCAUGCAUCGCUGAAACUCUGCUGCCUGAGUGGCUUCUAAAACUUCCUCCAACUCACCAAGGAACAUAACCUCCUUCGAACUAUUAGUUAUGGCCCAAUACUUUAAAAGACCUCUAAUUACAGUAUCAGCAAGCUUGAAAUCUUUUUCCACAAAUUGAGUGAUACAAUAUGAAAGUUGUUGAUGGUACAUCGAUACACACUUGGGCUUGUGAAGUGGAAUCAGGGCACGGACUAGAAAGAGCUUGUGCUCUUCCUUCAAUGGCAAAGCAAACCCGUUAAUUAUGCUGCCCAAUAUCUCAAGCAAUUCAGCGAUCCCAUUAUGCCUUUCUGUUUCAAAUAUGAAACGGUAAAAGAUAUUGUUUAUAGAUUUUCUAAUAAAUGGCCGAUGCACCAUAAAUUUCCCAUAAAUGCGAUGCAGUAUUGUCUUCAAAUACUCCCUUUCCCUUUGGUCCUCCGAACCAAACAAAUCUAGCAAUUUCAACACAAAUGAAUGGUCAAUGUACCUCUUUGCAAGCUUGGCAUCGGUCUCUGUUGAAGCCACAAAUCUGAGAAGAAACUCGUACACAAUUUGAAGAUGAGGCCAUGCGGGCUCCAUGGUCGGUUCAUCCUCCUCUGGGUCAUACAUUUCCAGAAUCUUGUUAUCGUGAUUCACAGAUGGAAGUGUUCUAAACAAAUUAGCUGCCGCCAUCUUUGUAAUCUCUUGCAUUGUCACCUCAUUGAACUUUGAUGUCACAGAAGAAAUAUAAUCAACAAGUUCAUGCAAAGUCUGCCUUUUAAUGUCCUUCUCCUUAAGAUUUUUAGAGGGAUCACUAAAAUCAAACACAACACAGCACAUGUUCAACUUUCUAAUAAAGAGAUUCUGCUUCUCCGAACUAGGAACAUCCUUGAAAUUAGGCAAUGGCUCGUAAACCCCAGAAGCCAACAUCGGACCCACUUGGCCUGCAACGGCGGCAGAUUUUUUUCCUUGAUUAGAUUUGUUCUGUGGUGCAAUGGUCCCAUUGUUCACGCGCGAAGCGCCCAAACCCGAACUAGCAGACUUCGAAGCAAUGGAGGACGCCUUUGAGCUGUUUAUGGAAUUGGGUCCGUGGGAAGAAUUUAGAGAAGAAAAGGCAUUGACCCCACCAUCAUUGUUUGAGUCAUUAUUCGAUGAUUUUGACGGUUUUCGAGGUAGCUUGCCCAAUAUCUGUUUGAUCAUAUCUACCAAGAAAAGCCCUAACCCUAACCCAAGCACUAAUCCUAAUUUAACUCAGCAAUAAAUCAAAGCUCUCAACUUAAAACACCUCAAAACGAAGGCAUUUUCAUAGCCAAUCGAUAGAACCCCAAUCCAAAUUGCACAUAUAAAAACGAAACGACGCUACAGAAAGAACUCGAGAAGAGACAUAUAAACGAGUCUAUGCAUGUAACACUACAUAUCUAGACGUCACAAUUGAAAAACAGGAAAUUUCAUACACUUUCUGAUUUUGAAUUGAAGGGUAACAGAAACAGAAGAGGAAACAAACUUACAUUAGCAAGAUGAAGAAUGGAGAGAUCCGAAAAAUGAGAGAGAAAACCCUAGAAAAUCUGAGCUUUUUGGGCUUUGAUCUGCAAUUGAUAAACCCUAAUAUGCUUUUAUGUGCCAGCCCCCAAUUGAUUUUGAGAGAGAAAGAGAGACAAGGAGAAGGGAAAAAACCCAAAAAUAAAAAAGAAAGAAAAAACAACAGGAACAAAACCCAGAAAACCAAAAGAUAAUCUAGUAAGUUAUGAAUUGAAAAAACAGAAACAAAAGAAAAUUAGUAACAUGAACUUUACAAAAAUAGCAAAGAGCCUCUCUCUCUCUCUCUCUAUGUCUGACUUUGCAACUCUUAUCGCUUCCUUGCUUGGUUGUUGUAAUCAGCGAAAUUCAACUGAGUUGAGGAGAUAUAAUUUUGUUGAACUAGCAGACGCAACUCAAAGUUUCUCCAACAAUAAUUUGCUUGGCGUAGGUGGUUUUGGUACAGUCUAUAAGGGAUGUCUAGAUGAUAAAGUCGUUGCUAUCAAGAAACUUAGAUUUGUAAAAGAUGAAGAGCCAGAAGAAGAGCCACAAGAAAUCAAGUACCUUAAAAGAGUGAGUCACCCAAAUCUUGUUAAACUGAUUGGUUACUGCUAUGAAGGCGCCAAUAAAUUGCUUGUCUUAGAGUUUG
rnacentral:misc_RNA from 1 species